GGGGCAGCUGUUGCUGUUACCACCGCUGCUGCCGUCGCCGCCUGAGGAAAGCGGUUCGGUGGAGGCCGCCGGGGCAGGGCGGGAGCGGCCUCUGCGGAGUGGGAUGGCGUCUCUGGGCUCCCUAGCGGUGUUUCUUGCUCUCCCCGCGGGGCGAGAGGAGCGGUGCGUGUUGCCGCUCCUCUCCCCAGGCAGGUGGCAUCUGUCGGGGGACAGGGCUCUGCGGCGGGGCGCUCCCUAACCACCUCUGCUAGGGGUAGCGGAGCCGGCCUCUUUCCAGGAUGCGCUGCUGGCUUUAGCACAGUGAGUUUAUCAGAACGCUGUCCAACGGGGUUAUUGUGUCCCCAGAGCGCCUGUGCGUUUAGCAGCAGUAUAUAAGGAGGCGGAUGUUUGCCUUUGUAAAAGCACACGGAAGCAGAUUUGAUGAAAACAAACCAUAUCCCAUCAACCCCUCUUCUAGACCUCAAGUAAUCUUGUUCCCCUGAGCAGAACCACCCCCCCUCAACUCAAAGGGACUGUUCACGUGUGUAGUAGAUUUCCUUGCUUGGGACCCUGACCUCGUAUUUGAACAUCCAGUUGUAUUGUUUCCAUGCUCCCUAUAAGUGUUUUCAAGCUUACCUUUAGUACCCCUCAGAACCUGGAGAUCAUGCUUUGUGCUGCAUAAUGGAUUGCAAACCAAAGGAUAACCUUGCUAGUGUCUGAUUAAAAUGACUGUGCCAAAUUUUUAAACGUACCUAGAAACUAGCCCUUGACUAAUGGCUCCACAGAAGCUUUAGGAAACUUUUGUUGGUUGCCUCUAACUGUUUUCUGUCCAAAGUAUUUGUGAGCUACUUUUCUGACAGUAGUAAAAUUAAUUGAUGGUAAUGUGUUUGUAGAAUCCAAGUACGUUCACCUGCCCCUGAAAAUUGAAGGAUAUUCUUUUUUCAGUAUGUACUAUUAAGGGAUACAAGCCAGCAAUUAAGUUCUGGGGCAAAAAAGAUACAAAGUAAUUUCAGUUAAAAGUAACAAGAGAUGCAGGAAAUUUAAAAGCUUUUCUUUAACAUCAGGUUAAAUUGAGCAUUAAGGUAUUGUGAAACAUCUUUUACUUAAUGUAGGAGUCCAAUUUCUCAGAAAGUGUGUUGUUUUUCUCUCUUAUGGAAGAAAAAACAGUAGUUAGGAAAAAGAAUUGAAACAUUCAUAACUGGUUUUGGAUUAGAUUUUGUUUAUGAGAAAUGUGUGUUUUUUAUAGUGGUGGGUAGAAACUAGUAUCUCAAAUUGUUUGGUUUAAACUGAUUUUUUAAAUUACUUUUCUGAUUGAGCUAGUAGUUAAAUGUGUAAAGAUGGUAGUUAUUUGGUUUGGGGGUUUUUAAAUAGCCUUUUUUUAUUCCAUACACUCUUUGAGGGAGAACUCUGGACUGUUGGGCUAACAAAUCAAUGUUAGUUUACAGGUUUUGCUGAAACUGUCCCUGAUCAUGGUUUUAUAUACUACUCACAGCAAGUAUGUAUUGUAGUUCCAUAGGCAUUCCUCGCAUUUGUUUGGCUUCUUCGGAUUUUGGCACAGCUCAAACUAUGGACGUACAGUAUGCAAUCCUCAGAUAAGAUUCUGACACAAAGACAAACAUCUACCUGCAAGCAGAAAGAGCUGCACCCUGGAAUCCAGCCCAUCAUAAAACGCUCUCUUGGCAUAUGCUUCCCACAGCAAAUAGUCUUUUUGUGCACAUGUAAAAUCCUGGAAAAGGAAUUAGAAAUAUAGCAUAUAGGGUAGUUUUUCAGUCUUCAGUUAGGUGACUAGGGAAUUAAUUCACUGUGGAGAGGUGCUGAUACUGAGUGGGUGCUUGGUUGGCUUGUACUGCUCUCGUGUAGAGAAGGUGCUUUCCAGAAUGCCUUUGCAACAGCAAACAGAAGAUUUGGCUUAAAAUAUCACAGUGAUGACCUGAGCUAGAAACAGUGGAUUUAGACUGUAAAAAUUAUAGCAAAACAAAAUACCUUUCUUGUGUUCUCUCAGGUUUUUUUGAUCUGGACAGCCAAGUAGUAGCGUACGGCUUCCUGUGCUUAGGACAAGCAGCACGAAUCUGGUAACAACCAAUUAUUGCAUUUAACUAUGUCUUCCUAAAAAUCAUUACCUUUAGAUGUGGUUUUAUUUUUUUAGGAGUAUUGAGACAGAGAAUAUAAAGAUAGAAGCUUGUUUUCAUAAACUUUUGUUUUGACCUUAGCUGUCUCCUUCAUUGUGAUUGUAUAUAAACUAUAGAGACUUAUUUCAUUAGGUUUUUUAAUCUGCAAAAUGGGAAUAAUAAAAUAAUGUCCUGAGUAGUGGUAGGAAGGUCAAUCAAUCAAAGUGCUUUGAGGUAAAAAUAUAACACUAUGAUAUGAAUAUACAGAUGAGGAAUUUUAACACUAGGAAUUAUUGCAGCUAAUAUUUGUAUCCUCUAGCUGUUAUUUAUCUUCACCAAAAUAAAAUAGUACUUGUUUUCUACAAGGCUGACAAGUUAUAGGUCUCAGAAUAAUGUGUAAAGGCGGAUGAAUUACAAAUAAGCCCUUCUACAGAUGGUGACACUAAAGCAUAGGAAAGCUAAAUGCUUCGGCCAGGGGAGGGAGUACUUGCAGCUAAAGCAACUUUCAGUUCAGUCCCUUAUCCUUUGCCUUAUAAAAACGUUCAUCUUAGGUUGGAUCUGGCCUUUGUUUCCACAAACGCUAAGUGUUUAUCGUCCUAUAUGCACUUCUCUUUCUGGGUUAUAUGGAUUUUUUUUCCAUGUAUAUAGCUAGGCAGAUGCUAACGCUAUACAUCAGUAUGCCUUGUUUUGUGAUUAAAUAAUGACGGUCCCACAUGAUAAAAGCUGAAAGGAAAAAAAGGAAAAAAGCAACCAAAAACCCCCCAAACCCCAACUUAUGUUAUAAGAAUGGUCAUUACCAGAAUUCCUGGUAUUAAAUAAUACAACUUCUUAGGUUGAAAACAGGCAACCUGUUUCUUACAGUGUUGUAUAUAAGCAUUGACAUAGUCGCUCCCAUAUUGUUUAUAACUAUGAUAAAAAGCAAUAAAUACUAAAAUCAUGUGGGUUAUAGUGAAGAUAAAAUAAUUUAGCUUGGAAAAGACCUUUAAGAUCAUCAAGUCUAACCAUUAGCCUAGCACUGCCAAGAUGAGCAAGCAUUAAAUAUUCCUGAGCUUGAGAGGAUUAAUAUUCAAGAUUUGCAUGUGGUUUUUAUUUCUUACUGGGAUAUAGAAACUGCCAUACCAACUAAAGGCAGUGGUUUAUCUCAUUCCCUUAUAGACACUGCCUUUAUUUACCUUCUAGCACUCCCUGCAAGAUUGGCAAGUGCUGUUAUUCCUUUUAGAAAGAGGGAAGCAGAAUGGGGAGAAGGGAGGAGGCUUUAACAAUGGCGUGCAGGAAUUCUGCAGGUGGAGCUGAACCCUGGUAUCUUGAGUUGCUUGACUAGAUUCCUCCGUAUGAGGUCGACUUUUUAAAUUUCCUUGCUAGUGAUGUACACCAAAAGUUCCAAAAUAGACAAGCACAGUGCUCUCCAUAUGAGACUGAUUCCUUAAUCAGUCUGUAGUAGGCAUAUGACUAGGGGAGGCACAUCUGCCUCUCUCUAUUUUUUAAAUUGUGAAUCAUUACCCAGAUAAAUAUAAAAAUAUGUAUUUUUUAAUAUUCUGCUUUUCCAUUGACUUCCUUAAUAUAUUUUAGUAAUGGGCUUUAUAAGUUAAUUAAUUUUAAUAGAAACUAAAUUUUAAUGUUUUCUUUAGCUGCUGUCAUACAUUGUGAAACUGGGAACAUGGGAAUCCUGGUUUUAACUUUUUAAACAUUUUAUUGCAUUAUAAUUCAUUCUUUUGUACUUCUAUAUUGCUAUCAUGGUUAGCUUCUAUACAGAACAAUACAAUUCUUAAAAGAUAUUUUCAACAAUCUUUCUGUCCAGAAGAUCAGAUGCAUAUAAUAUAGAUCUGUUAUGUGGUUCUAAUGUCUUUCUAGAUUAUAGACUUGGUUUUCCUGGCAAACAUAGCUGCUAUUAUCGUCUGUUUGCACACAGCGUUAAGUCAGGAAAUUGACAGUCAUGGGUUAAACUGUAAUUUACAACCUUUUAUGAAAAAAGGGAAGCAGUAAUACAUAACAUCUGGGGUUCUUUGCAUUUUCUGGUUUGUAUAAAGACAGAUUUUAGCAUUUAAUAUGUUUUCUAAACUGACAUUCUUUAGUGGAAUGCAAAAAAUAGUAUGCUUACACUAUUGAUUACAAAAAAAUAUAUUCCUGAUAUUUUAUGACUCAGAAGAGUCUACCUACUAAGUUUAGUAGCCCACAUUUUUGUAUAUUUGAGAAAAAAAAAAGUUAUUUACAGGCCUAUUUGCAUUAAUUUCAUCCUCAGUUCUAUUCCUGGUCUUCUGAGAGAAGUAAGAGGCUUUGUUGCCUUUUCUGUCAGAUCAAGGAAGUAGACUUCAUGUUUUGUUGGGGCAUUUAACAGAACUAAAUUUCCCCUAAGAAAGAAACAGAAAAAGACAUAGAAGAUUUUAUAGACAAAUUGGGGUGGAAGAAGAGAAUGAUUUUAUUUUAGCUAAGUUUGCUUUUAUGUUCUCUUUUGGCUAAAGGCUGAGAAAGAAAAUGGUCUGUAAAUGAAGACUUCUUGAAUAUUCAAUAGAGUCUAACAAGUAUAAAUUUAGAAAGUAAAAACAUUAUUUUAAAACCGCGUUGUGAAAAAGAAUUUGCUGGCUUACAUAACUGCACUGUACUCAGCUUCUCUGUGCCAUUCUGAUACAAAUAAAUUAUAUUUGCCCAUUUUUCUUUUCAGACAUGUUGAAUAUGGAGCAUUUCAUAACUUGUGCAGAACAAAGUCAGGGGUUUUUUUGUUAAAAAAAAUACUGUAGAAUUUCAUUGAAUACAUAAUUCAUUCAAAUCCUUCCAUUCUUGCUGUAGCAAGCUUGUACUGGUUAAGACUUAGGGCUUUAUUUAGUUGCCCAUACAUACGUGUCCAGUGCCAUUUGAGAUGCCCAAGAGUAUUCUUCUUCCCUGUUGCCAGCUGCUGCUGCAGAAAGGUAUCAGUUUACUCAGGUCGGGUGCCAUGCCCGCACAGAGCUGACGCGUAUCUCAGGAGUCUGAAGGAUUCUUAGGCUGCAUUGGGCAUCUACGCUCUGACACAUGAAUCCUCCAAAAUGCCAUUUGCAUGGAUGUGCCCAGUCACUUAAGGAGUUCCUCACAUUGUGUCUGGUCCUGAAUCCCAUAAAAUCUCCUGUCUUUGGAGGAGGUUGUCACAGAAUUGCUGAGUGCCUUCUGUAUCAUGCCUGAAUCCAGCUCUAGGUCCGUGGGACAUUAUACAAGCUACGUGUGUUUCAUUUUGUUUUCCUGUCUAGAAUCUUUGAGGGGGAUUUUGCAAAAGGACAAACUUAUUCAAACAUUAUUCAUCAUCUUUUUUUUUUUUCCUGAAACUCUCAGUGAACUGUGAUGAAAAUAAAACAUGCCUGUAGAUGCCAUGAAUUUAUUUUAGCAAUGGUGGGAACUUUCCACCAUUUUCCUACUGUAAAUAGGCUCUGACUCAACAAGAUUAGGCUUACUUCCUAUUUUUGGUUAAAUUAAAGCACAAGUGAGUGGUGUACCACUUGAAGUAUGUUGUUAAACUGGAUUUUUUGCUGCCUUCACCUUUCUUCAGUGAAGACCAAGUGUUCUGUUGCGAGCUCUCCUGAAACAGAAUAGGAAAUAAACGUUAUUCUUUCAGAUGGAAAUUAUUGGCAGAAGCAGCUGAAACAUUUUGUAAAAAUUCAUGUAAUAAACUUAAAAGCAUUAGCAUUUAGGUGCUAAAACUAAGUUCGCGUAGUAUGAGAGGCCUCUGAAGGCACAAGGAUCAGAAAAUUAAUAGCAGCAGUAGCUGCUAACAUGGAAAAAAAAGCCGUGAGUGGAAAAACAGUAAACUGAAAGUCCUUUAUCCUCCUUUCCAGUCCUCAGUUCUCAGAGUUUUGUCUGGCAAGGAAAGCAGGGAAUCUGUCUGACUUUCAAAUAAUUACUGAUGUAUUACUCCAUUGCAGGCUAGUAGCAAAGAGCAGCUGUGCCCUGUAGCCAGAGCCAACUUCUUCCUUUCCCAUCCCCCAUUUCUGCCUGCCUUCCCUGGAGAAAGCUAUCUCACUAUUAAAUAAACUAGGGUUGGGUUGCAAGACAAACCAAGAUUUCAUUAGAAAAAUAUUUACUCACGCAUAAAGAAGACUUUUUAAAAAAACAUCACUACUUAGGAAACGAUGCGACUUUGUGGGUAAUAAAUAACAACAGAUUUGUUACACUACAGUUGUAAAGCUCUUUUAUGAGCCUGGGAAGAGUGACCUUAUUCAUCAUAAGGCUUUGUCAAUUCUGCCUCCAUGCAACUAUUCUCUUCUUGAUACAUGUGAGUCAUCUGGGCCAUGCUUAACCGAGAGGUCUAGUGCCUAAAAAGUAAGGGAGUUAAUUAUAGUUGUUGGCUUUUUGACAAACUACCCUUCAUUUUCCCACAUUCCUUACCAGUUUUAACUCAGUUAAAAAAAAAAAAAACAUUUAUUGAGAGACAAAAUACCAGCAUUGUGGUAAAAAAAAACAUAGUUCUGUAAAAAAUCAAUACCAAACCAUUUGCAUUUUCCAUUUAUAUGGAGCCUGAACCACAGCAAUAAAAAGGUCCUUCAAUGUCCUCAUCUUCAAAAGUAGGAGUUCUCGGCAGAGUUAUAGGACUGCCAGAAGUUCAUGAUAGCUCCUCUUAUCUUUACAUUUAAGAUUAAUGUAAACCUGAAUUCCUGAUGACUUGCAUUCAGUAAAUAACCUUUAUCUGCAAAAGCACAUGAAUGUGUGGAGGAGUCGUGCUCAAGCUCCUGUUUAAACAAUUGACACAGUAACUCCCUGAAUUCCUCCUGAAAUUUCAUUAGAAGUGCUGUCUUCCUCCGCUGUCAUGUGGUGGUAAGUGGCUGCCAUGUUGUAGCCCGCUGUUCAGUGAUGGGGGAAGCGACAUGUUCAGGUCAUUUGUGUGGUGGUCUGAGGUAUUUUGAGACUUAAGGAAUGCAAAGGAUACCAGGAAAACAUCAGCACUCUUGCACCUGUAGGAAGGCUGCCACAGGGCACUGCACAUUGCGACUCAGGGAAUUCAUGGCUGCUGGUAUGGAACCUGUGUAACUGAGCGUAACAAACCUUCCACACCAAACCAGUUUCUUAUGUUAAGAACCACAUUACCCAUAACUACCCUGUGUACUGUUUUGUUUUGCACUUGGAUGGAAGCUUGAAGCAGUACGUUUAUGUAAUAUUUAUUCAAACAUUAAAUGAAACAACAACUAAAUCCGUAGCUUGAUUGCAUCUACAUGGAUGUGGAGUUAAUGAAUCAUGUAAUAACUUUGCAGUUUGAUAAUCUGGAGAUCUUUCAAUGGAAAAACAUUCAAUAAAGGGGAAGACACCAUAUCCUCUUACAAAGAGAACAAACAAAAAUCUUGAGAAAGGUGAAGAGUGUGAAAUACCUGUGUCUGAGCCUGGCAGGUGUUCUUGAAACCUGCACCCUGUUCAGUGAGAUUAGAUGCUUGUAUUUGAGGGGUUUAGUCCUUACGCAUUGAAGAAAGAGCAUGCUCCUCCCCAGACUGGGAUUUAAUAAAGCAACUGUAGCACUGACUUUUUGUCAAAGCGGAUGGUGUCUGGUGUUUCAGUUCUUCAUGAAAGGGAGUGAAAGACUAAGCAGCCUACGUUACCAGAAUAGGUUUCUAUUUUAGCUAGCAUCAUAUGAAAGGAGCCAUCUUGUGGUUGUCUCUUUUGCAAAUAAAAUGUUGCUGUAAUAUUGCCUUGAAAAGCUGAAGUUAAAGAAGUGUCUACACUUCUGUGAUAAUUUUUCUUCUACUUGUUCGGAAAUGUUACCUUUUGAGUAAAACUUGACCUUGUACAUGUUUUCACUCAGAGGAAUUCUUUCAUUCUAUCAGAUUUCUGAUUAUACCAAAUCUUCACAAUUAAAAUACCAUAUCUUAUCUAUUCAUCCAGGAUUAAACUUGAUAUGCUCAGUCUGUGUCCCCUACUAGUCAAUCCACCCUAAUACUUGCUAGUCCUCUGAGGUCUUGCUCAGAGCUCUAAUCCGCACUCUGAAUUUUGCUUUAAACUGCAAUCAACAGCAUAUCCUCUGAAAUGUGACUCUUAGAAGAACUGCUUUCUAAAUGAAUGCUGAGUGGUCUUAUUUAAAAUGGGAUCCCCGGGAACUCUGUGCAUUCCAGGCACAAAACAGAAGCAUUCCCAUCCUUUGCUCCUGGACUUCAAGCUUGGCUUGGAAAGACAACGUCUAGAUGAUACAUCAGUCUGAUUUCUUCACCUCUUUGCUGAUAAACAAUGUGAAGGAGGCACAAUCUCUGUAAUGAAAGAAACAGGAGAGGAUUCCGGCUUACAAAAUCAGUUAACAGCAAGUGAAUGAAAAUAUCUUCCCUCCAAAAGUAAUGCUGGUACGACAGUGAUGAUUAUCCUGAGCACUGGAAUAAGAGAGACAAAAUAUAUACGGGAUUAUUUUUGACACAGAUAAUCUGCUGCUCUAUAGGAAAAUGAUAGGUGGGCUCUAAAGGAAAAAGCAGCGCUGUUACAUUUUCGCCUCUUCUAGAAGUAUCUCUGCUGCCUUUUGAAGGGAAUGAUGUAGGUAACUAAUUACUACCACUCACCUCGCUGGAGCUCAGGUUAAGGCCCAUCAAUUUUGGAGGAAUCUCAUGAAUGUUAGUGGAUUGAAUAGUUUUUGCUCUACGUUAUGGACUCAAUAUCUAGAUAUGCUGGUUGGGCUCAACACGAAAGCUACGGGCAGAGGACAGGCAACCUGCCUCAUUUGGUGUCUCUCUUCCCACAAGCCAUCAAGUGUCUCACUGAAUCAAGAAGAUUUUUUUAAGGAUACAUAACAGCUUUAUCUUUUUUCUACCUUUCAUCCACAUGUGCAUUGGGUUUGCAUGGCAAGGUUUGGUAGUGGGGGGGACCAGAAGCUUCCCCCAUGUCCAACAGAACCAGUGCCAAGUGGCUCCAGGACGGACCCUGCAGGGAUGAAUGUCACGGACUCCUGACAGAUAUUCUGCAGAAGACCUGUAUUGUCAGCUUUUCACUGCUUAUAUAUCUUUCAACACAUUCCUCACACGAUCACGCGCACAAACAAUUUCUGUUUUUCGUCAGCUAGCUCUAAGCACACACCUUAUGCUACAUUCUAAUAGGCUGUUCUAUUUGCGCUACUUCAUUUGUUUUUGCUUACUUAAAUUCUUCUUGGCAUUUCCCAUGUUCCUGUCUCUGUUUUUUACUACCGCGUUGCUUCGGUUCAAGGACGUGUCAAACAGUGCUAAGUUACUUGUAAAUUCAUCCCCCACAUCUCCCCCGUUUUUAUCUUAUAUUAGCCACACAUUUUUUACUGUUCUCUCUACUAAUUGCUGCAAGCACUGACAAAGAAUGGCAAAAUUAAAAGCAAAACUAGGAAUAUUAUUAGAAAUGCUAUAGCUGUUUUUACUAUUUCCUUGAACCAUCCUGUGAUUCCCCAUCCAGUCAACCAUGAGUCCCCACAAGAUAUGUUGUAAAGGGAUUAUCCGCGCUGGCUGAGGACAGGCAUAUCGACUCCUGUCCAGUUAAGUUUGCAAGGGUAACCCAGACAUUUUUUCAUGGUUGGACGGAGACCCACGAAUGGCAGAGGCUGAUGAUGGCGAGGAAGGUGAUGAGGCCGCAAGCCAUGGUUUCACGCCUUUUGCUGGAAUCCAUCAGGGACCGCAACCUGUGGAGACACAAGCAUACCCUCUCCCCCAAGUUCUUAGUGGAUGAGGGCCUCCCACAGUCCCGUGUUCAGAUUUUUUAUCAUUACUAAGGACUGUUCUGAAUGUUCAAUAGACGUUAGGGCUUUGCUCAUGGAUCUAUAGUGUUUU